CUGGUUGAUCCUGCCAGUAGUCAUAUGCUUGUCUCAAAGAUUAAGCCAUGCAAGUCUAAGUAUAAGCACUUAUACUGUUAAACUGCGGAAAGCUCAUUAUAUCAGUUAUAGUUUAUUUGAUGGUAAACCCACUACAUGGAUAACCGUAGUAAUUCUAGAGCUAAUACAUGCCUUGAAGCGGUAACUUCGGAAGCCGUGGACUUAUUAGAUCAAGAGCUGACCCUUUUCGGAGGAACAAGCUGAAUCAUAGUAAUUUCGCUAAUCGCAGUGGUUUUGUGCCGGCGAUGGGUCAUUCAAAUUUCUGCCCUAUCAGCUGUGAUGUUAGUGUAGUGGACUAACAUGGCAUAAACGGGUGACGGAGGAUUAGGGUCUGAUUCCGGAGAGGGAGCCUGAGAAAUGGCUACCACUUCCAAGGAAGGCAGCAGGCGCGUAAAUUACCCAAUCCCGAUACGGGGAGGUAGUGACAAGAAAUAGCAAUACCGGAUCUUUUAAGAUCUGGUAAUUGGAAUGAGUACAAUCUAAAAUCCUUAACUAGGACCCAUUGGAGGGCAAGUCUGG
rnacentral:rRNA from 1 species